rnacentral:lncRNA from 1 species
AUGGCUAGUAGGUGGUAGCAGCUGGACUCACCAUUGUAGCUGUAGAAUUUGCAGGCCAUUAGGUGUUGCAAGCCAUGAAGCACAUGGAGCCUCAAGCAGAACAAGUUUUUCAAAGUCUACCAAAAUCUGCCUUCGGUGGUGGCUACUACAGAGGUGGGUUUGAACCCAAAAUGACAAAAUGGGAAGCAGCAUUAAUACUCCAUGUAUGCCCGACUGCCAAUAAGGGAAAAUAAUUGCUGCUCACAGACAAAUUAUGCUC